rnacentral:rRNA from 1 species
UGGGGAAUUUUGGACAAUGGGCGAAAGCCUGAUCCAGCCAUGCCGCGUGAGUGAAGAAGGCCUUCGGGUUGUAAAGCUCUUUCAGGUGGAAAGAAAACGCAUAGGUUAAUACCUUGUGCGGAUGACGGUACCAUCAGAAGAAGCACCGGCUAACUACGUGCCAGCAGCCGCGGUAAUACGUAGGGUGCGAGCGUUAAUCGGAAUUACUGGGUGUAAAGGGAGCGUAGGCGGUAAGGCAGGUCUGAUGUGAAAAUUUGGGGCUCAACCCCAAAACUGCAUUGGAAACUGCUUAACUAGAGUGUCGGAGAGGCAAGUGGAAUUCCUAGUGUAGCGGUGAAAUGCGUAGAUAUUAGGAGGAACACCAGUGGCGAAGGCGGCUCGCUGGACGAUAACUGACGCUGAGGCUCGAAAGCGUGGGGAGCAAACA